rnacentral:lncRNA from 1 species
GGUCCCUGGCCUGGUUGGGACGUCAGCAAGCUGGGCGGCUGGCUGGCAGAGAGGCAGUGCUGAGUGCGGCCGCUUCCCGCUUGGAGCUUAGCAGCCCCAAGCUCCCCUCCCUUAACUGAGUUGUUUGGUGGCUUGGUGGCCUCAGGGCCCUCACGUGGACCCUAUGAGCCAGGUGGGGCUUCAUUUCCAGGUGGCCCCGAGCAGCCCCUGGGGAAGCCCGGAGUCCAGGACCCAGCACGCUUCGGUCCCAGCGAGCCUGGGACACCUGAGGCCCUGCGCACAGGCUCCCUUGCCCAGGUGCAGCACCUGUGGGCCCCUGUUUGGACUGAGCCCCAAGUCUGGGCACCUGACCAUCAGCUGGGCAGAGGGCAUCAGCGAGGCAGCGGCUCCACAGGUGUGGAGGAUCCAGCAAACAAAUGGGGGUGGGGCUGCGGGGUGGCCGGUGUGUGCGCCCAGGCGGGUGGCAGCGGCUUCCACUCUUGCUUUCACCCCGUCAUGCCCUUCCUGUGAUGGCCGCACAGUCCUGGCUCCCCUGCCAGCCCGGGCGCCCAGAGCCUGCCAUCAUCACGGACCCCAGUUUGUCCAUUCCAUCUGCAGAUGGCAACUGCCCUUCUGUGUUGCCCCCUUGGGUUCCUGGCCUGUGGUGUGAGUGGCCGACGCCAGGGGCAUGCCUGGGCUGACGGUCCUGGGGAUGUGGGUGGCAGGAAGCAGAUGCUGGGAGGUGGCUGUCCUGCACGGGCAGGAGGCAGGGGAGUCCCAGAGCCGGGCCCCAGUGCCCUCAGCCCUCCCCGGCCCUGAGGCUGGGCGGCCCAGGCUGGCACCCACUGGUGCUCGCCGGGUGGGCAAAACAGUUCCAGGAGCUGCAGCCCAGACCCAUCUCUUUCCAGAUGGUCUGUUAAGGAAGGUUCUGGGGAUGCUGCCCCUAAGAGGCGGCUCCAGGGGGCUGCCCCUGUCCCUGUCCCCGAGUAGCAGAACUGCAGGUUGGCACCUCUUCCCAAAGGCUCUGGGGGAGGGGCCGGCUUCGGGAGCAACUGGCACUCGCGGGCAGCCCGGUCUCCACCUCCGUGGUCCCGUGGUCUCCCCGGUGUCAAUUCUCUCUGCCUCCCUCUUACGAGGACACUGUGGCAGCAUUGAGGGCCUGCAGAGAGCCCUUUCCGCCCUGUCCCUGUCUUGGGACUGGGCAUCCCCUGCUUCCCGCCCCCGCUUCUCUAGGCAGUUCCUCCCCAGGUGGGGGUGACCUCAGACUUCCUUCCUGCCCAGCUCUCCCGACUGCGGGGCUUGGUCCCUACUUGCCGUCUCAGCCCUCUUAGGGGUGUGGAAGCCUCUCGGACCUGAGCCUCCGUGAAUGCCUUUCCUCUAACAGCCUCCCUCCGGAAGCCCACCUUGAUUUCAGUCGCUCAGACCCAAAUCCCGCGGUCAUUGUAUUGUAGAUGAAGCAUCUGGAUUUCAUACUAAUUUUGUCUUUGCCUUAUCACAGCUCAUUUUCAUUGCGAGCUGGAGGGAGACCUUAUAAAACUCCAAGUGGAGGCUUGGCGCCACCGUGCUCUCUGUAGCCAAUCGGUGCAAAUUCGGCGUUGGCGAACUUGACCUGUAAAAGUCAGAGGGCAGGUGUUUGAAGCAUUGUGGGUCCUGCGGUCUCGGGGUCUGGGUGGCGAGGCUUCAGUUCCUCCACUAAAAGCAGCCAGAGGCAACCAGGGGGCGCGUGCCGGAGAAAGGGCGGAUACAGAAGCACGAUGGUCACGUCGGGUCCCCGGCGGCGUCCGCCCACCCUGGUCUGGUGCGGGCGAUCAAAGCAUUCAAACCAGAUAUUUGCAACAAAAGCGGAUCUCAGGAAGGCGCUGGUCUGGGCAUUUAUGGUGGCAGAGUUACCACUCUUAAACACACGCAAUGGUUUCAAGAGACUAAAGGAUUUCCCCACAGUUACACAGAGUGAAGGGAUUUCUCUUUGCUUAAACAGCGACGGGCAAUUCCAACAGCCCCAAAGUGAAUAUCCUGAAUCCCACGCAGUAUCCUCACCAAAAUCUAAACACAGGGGCUCCCUGCUGGCCUCGUGCUUAAGGAUCCGGUGCUGUCACUGCUCUGCUUGGGUCACAGCUGUGGCACGGGUUUGAUCCCUGGCCCAGCAGCGUCCCCACGUGCAGGCAAGGCCAAAAACCCUAGGAACAUCUAAAAAUAGCUUAAGGAGUUUCCAUGUGGCUCAGCUGGUUAAGACCCCAACAUAGGGUCUGUGGGGAUGCGAGUUCAAUCCCUGGACUCGCGCAGUGGGUUUUGGAUCCGGGGUUGCCGCAGGCUGCUGUGUAGGUCGCAGACGCAGCUUGGAUCUGGCGUGGCUGUGGCUGUGGCUGUGGCUGUGGCAUAGGUCAGCCACUGCGACUCCGAUUUGACCCCCAGCCCGGCAACUCCCACAUGGCACAGGUGCAGCAGGGAAAAUAAAUAAAUGAAAUAAAAAUAGGUGAAGACAGUGGAUUUCAUCUCUUGGGGUUGCGGUAAGCUCUACACAAUAGGGAGUUUACCAUUUUACCUGUUUCAAGUGGCACUGAGUCAGCUCACAGUCCUGAGGGCCCACAGAUGCCGUCUGCCUGGGAGAUUGUUCCUCUCACCACACUGCCCCUCUGUCCCCACUAAAUACUCACUGCCCUCCCCGUCCCCCAGCCCCUGCCCCACCCUCUGCUUCCUGUCUCUGAACUUGCUGGCCACCAGCGACCGUCUGGUGACCUCACUCUUCGGCCCCAUUUGUCGCACACCCCACCUGGCCUCUCCCCGGCAUGGGCAGAGGGACCCCUGGCCCUCCACUGUCCUAAGGCUGCCCCUGUCAGCCCUCCUCUCCACUGGUCAGCACCCUCUGAGCCCCAGCCACAUGCACGUCCCAGGCCACAGACCACCCCGAGGGACCAUACGGCCACACGCUCUGCUAUGGACCUUGGCCACCUCCAGGGGGGGGUCUCUCUGUGACAGGGACAUCUGGAGGGCCCCACAGCGCAGCCAGGUCCUUGUGCCCACCACGGAGGAGCUCCACCACACCGCUGGCCUGUGUCAAGGCCUCAGGGGCACAGUGCUUCCAGACGGCCAGUGGUGGCUGGGUGUGCGGGGCCCCAGUCUGCAGCGAAGCCAUGCUCCCUGGGACAGGCAAGGCCUCCAGCGCCUUCCGCCCUCCCCAGGCUGGCCCGAAGCUGGGGAAACCCUCCCGCAGCCCCCAGAGUCUUCUGGGGAGGGGCAUGACACAGCCCUGGAUGCCCCCAACCAGGUCCUAUGACGCCAGGGACAGCCCCCAAUUCCCACCUCGGAGACAGGGCUCCGGGUCAGAGGGUGGCCCUUAGUGAUGGGUCACGAGGACAAAAACCUGAGCCAGACGUUCUGGUGCGGGCAGGGGCCCCCAGACCCCGCCAGCCACCCUGCGUCCCUCCGUGGGGCUGGCCGGAAGCCACAGCGCACGCAGCGCCUCCCAGAGAAAACAGGAAAAUGCGAGCGGACAACGCAGCAUCGGGCCGAGCAUCUCAGAACCAGGUCAGAUCAACGUUUGCUCUGAACCCAAACCUGAGACCCCAGCCGGCUUUGUCCCCCGGCGCCACGCAUGGGGAGGGCGGGGGGUCUCCAGACUGUCCCCUUCCUUCCCCACCAUGCACACGGGCAGGCAUGAAGACCCCAGCCUGGACCCUCUGCAUGCUUGGGGGGACAGAGUCCUGGGCCCAGAAACCCCUGGAUGUGAGACGGGAGCAGCCCGGACAUCUGGGGCCUGGGGCGGGCCCCCAGACCCCGGCAGCUGAUGCAUAAGGAGGAGGAGGUGGCUCUUUUCAGGAUGGUUCCAUCCCGUUUCAGGUGUCUCCUGCUGGGUUUGGGGAGUCUGGGCCAGGGGCGGGGGCUGUCCUGCUUUCUUCCUGCUCCAGCCCCACUGGCCCAGCCACGCAGGGUCUGACCUCAGAGAGCCUCACCAGACCCAAAGCAAAGGAUGCUCUGGAUUUUUUGAGGUGGGGGGGGUCAGGGAGCCCUGGGGGAGCCUGCCUGACUUCAGCCCACUCAGCCAUCAAAGGCCCAAGCAGCUCCCUCGGGGCUCCCCCGGCACCCCACUCCAAGAGCCCCUGUUCCCUGUCACCACCGAGUCCCACUGGGCUUCCAGACCAUGCAGCGGAGGCCCGCGUCGGCUGAGAAGACAGCCUCAGGAGGCAAAGUCCAACAGCAGGAGCUGCUGAGCCCAGGCCGGUCUAUCACAUGUCCAGACCCGCCUCCGCCAGGACCACGAGGCAGUGGAGACGCGGGGACAGCGGUUGGCUGAGCCUAGGCUGCGUGGUGGACGGACUCACCCCUCACUCAUUCGCUCACGCUCUCAUUCAGUCAUUUGCUCACUUGCUCACGUGAACUUGGCCUCGGCUGGUACCUCUUAGAGAUCCUGGUGUUCCAAGAGCAGACCCGCGGACCCGCCCACACUCACGGUGCCCGGACUGUGCCCAGCGUGGCUUUAGGGGCAGACGUGCACAGGAGGGGAGAGGCUCCGAGGAAUGAGGCCAUCAAAGGGACAGGCCCCAAACACGUCCUGCCUUCCGCAUGUGGACGUCGACUCUCCUGUCCUCGCUGCUGGACGUGGCCGCCCUCGAAGCCCCGGGUCUCCACCAGGCCGGUCCUCCCGACCCGUCUCCAGUCCUGCCUGUGACCCGCUCACGGCCGAAGGACGCCCCUCAGAGCAGCCCACCCUCAGAAGGCAACGCUGCCCCUUCCACAGGAGACGGACGGGGUGGGGUGACCUGCUGGCAGGAGGCUGGGUCCCUGUGUCACCGCGUGCAGGUGCAGCCAGCUGUGCAGGAGAGACGUGGGUCACGUGAUCGGUCAGGGGCUCCGCUGGCUCCCACCUCCCACCACGGCUCAGAGGCCGCCAGCACUGUCGCCAGCACAUAUCAUUCAUGUGCUUUCUUUCGAAGGCUACUUUUUCUUGUGUUUUAUUAAGAGACAGAGAUUUUUUUUUCAGAUGAUGAAAACAAUGCGCCUCUGAUGGGUGAAACUUGGACCGCGGAGGAGGGAAACAGAAAGAAAUGUCGCUCGGAGACACAGGACCGGGCGAGGCCUUGGGACCAGGCUGUCUCUCCUUCCGGUCCUCUCUCUGCCGCCCGAGGGGUGGUUCUGGUGUUUGAAACGUCGGGGUGGGGGGCGGUGGCGAUGGCAUGAGGAUCAUGGCACUCGCGGUUGUGACUGAGCUACCGGAC